AGAACGUCUGAAAAUACUAGGAUUAACUCUAAUAUCGAUCACAUUCUGAGACGGGCCAUCAAGUAGCCAGAUCUGGCAGAAAAUGCAGUUCCGACGCCGAUAAAUUAUCCUCGAUCCAAUUGCACAAAACAAUCUGGAUCGUCCGAUUAUUGUUUUUUUCAAACAAUGUCCGAUCAGAGCGUGACUGGUCCUAUCUCGAAGAUCUCGUCGUGCCGAGUCCAUCGAUGGUCUCGAAUUUCCGAUCCAAUAGUCAGAUCGCCAAAAAAUUAGCCGGAAUGCUCGCUACCCAAUAUUUUCUCUCUCCUCUUUCUCCCUUCAACUCG
rnacentral:misc_RNA from 1 species